GACGAACGCUGGCGGCGUGCUUAACACAUGCAAGUCGAACGGAAAGGCCCUGCUUGCAGGGUACUCGAGUGGCGAACGGGUGAGUAACACGUGGGUGAUCUGCCCUGCACUUCGGGAUAAGCUUGGGAAACUGGGUCUAAUACCGGAUAGGAACCAUCUUUAGUGUGGUGGUUGGAAAGUUUUUUCGGUGUAGGAUGAGCUCGCGGCCUAUCAGCUUGGUGGUGGGGUAAUGGCCUACCAAGGCGGCGACGGGUAGCCGGCCUGAGAGGGUGGACGGCCACAAUGGGGAUGGGAAACGGCCCAGACUCCUACGGGAGGCAGCAGUGGGGAAAAUUGCACAAUGGGCGCAAGCCUGAUGCAGCGACGCCGCGUGGGGGAUGAAGGCCUUCGGGUUGUAAACUCCUUUCGCUAGGGACGAAGCUUUUUGUGACGGUACCUAGAUAAGAAGCACCGGCUAACUACGUG
rnacentral:rRNA from 1 species